rnacentral:rRNA from 1 species
UAACACAUGCAAGUCGAAGGAUGAAACUCUAGCUUGCUAGAGAUGAUUAGUGGCGGACGGGUGAGUAACAUUUAGGAAUCUGCCUAGUAGUGGGGGAUAGCUCGGGGAAACUCGAAUUAAUACCGCAUACGACCUACGGGUGAAAGGGGGCGCAAGCUCUUGCUAUUAGAUGAGCCUAAAUCAGAUUAGCUAGUUGGUGGGGUAAAGGCCCACCAAGGCGACGAUCUGUAACUGGUCUGAGAGGAUGAUCAGUCACACCGGAACUGAGACACGGUCCGGACUCCUACGGGAGGCAGCAGUGGGGAAUAUUGGACAAUGGGGGCAACCCUGAUCCAGCCAUGCCGCGUGUGUGAAGAAGGCCUUUUGGUUGUAAAGCACUUUAAGCAGGGAGGAGAGGCUAAUGGUUAAUACCCAUUAGAUUAGACGUUACCUGCAGAAUAAGCCCGGCUAGCUCUGUGCCAGCCGCCGCGGUAAU